rnacentral:rRNA from 1 species
AUCUAUGGCCAUGCUACCCUGAAUAAGCCCGAUCCCAUCUGAUCUUGGAAGCUAAGCAAGUUUGGGUAUGGUUAGUACUUGGAUGGGAGACCACCUAGGAAGACCAGGUGCUGUAGGCG